rnacentral:rRNA from 1 species
AGCAGCCGCGGUAAUUCCAGCUCCAAUAGCGUAUAUUAAAGUUGUUGCAGUUAAAAAGCUCGUAGUUGAAUUUCGGGAUUCGUCCAUUGGUCAGGCUUAACUGUCUGUACUGGUGUGUCGGAUUUCUACCUUCUGAAGAACCUUUAUGCCAUUAAUUUGGUGUGUUGGGGAAUCAGGACUGUUACUUUGAAAAAUUAGAGUGUUUAAAGCAGGCUAACGUCUGAAUACAUUAGCAUGGAAUAAUGAAAUAGGACGGUACGGUUCUAUUUUGUUGGUUUCUAGGAUCGCCGUAAUGAUUAAUAGGGAUAGUUGGGGGCAUUAGUAUUCAAUUGUCAGAGGUGAAAUUCUUGGAUUUAUUGAAGACUAACUACUGCGAAAGCAUUUGCCAAGGAUGUUUUCAUUAAUCAAGAACGAAAGUUAGGGGAUCGAAGACGAUCAGAUACCGUCGUA